rnacentral:lncRNA from 1 species
CUAUCUAUAUACAACAUUCACUUGAGGAAAGACCGAUCGCCCCAGGGCCGUAACUACAUUGAGGCAAAUGAGGCAAAUGCCUCAUGUUUUAAAUUAAAAAAAAACUAAACUUAUAGAAAAGAUUGUCUUCAUGAUUGUCUUCAUAUCAAAUUGUUUUCACUGAAAUUGUCUUGCAAGAAGCAAAUUCUCUUCACUCUCUGAUGUCGCCCCUGCAUAUUUUUCGUAAUCCAUUUCAGAGUUGAUGGUCUAUUGUUUGUACUUAUGUGUCCCGGGUUUGUCCUUUGUUCAUUUAUUGUCCUACUUAAGUUGGGGUCACACAUUCACUAUUUUUACUGCCGUCCUUGACAGGACCAUUCCCGAUUAAAAUUUGUCAAAAGUCUGAUCAACAUCCUGUGAAUCGUGAAUGGAAAUUCAAACUUUAAUUAAAUUUUGUAAAACAAAUAAUUUAAUCACGAC